rnacentral:lncRNA from 1 species
GGGGGAUAUAUUUCUUUAAUUAAAACAAUUCAGAGUAUUUUACAAUGUAGCAGCAGAUUUGAAUAACCUUGCAGUCCUCCGACAGAUGUAUGAACACAGUGGUAGUGAUAACAUUAACAUUACCGAAUUGUAAUUCAUAUUGGUUAUUAGAUAUACUAGUAAGUAAGUAAGUUAUUAUACUUAUAAAACGGGAUGUUGUUGGCUUGUAUGGUGUAAAUAACAGUUGUGUUUUCAAUUUCGUUAUAUCCAUUAUAAACGAGGCCAUAAACAAUCAAUAAACUACACUAGCGGAUGUAUAAAGCCACAACCCUAGCAAACGAUUUGGAUAUUACUUUGUGUUUAAGUAGUUACCGUAUAAAUGCAGCCCGUCGUCAUAUAAACGAUAAAUUUAAUUUUCAUUACCUGUGUGACAUACCAGAAAAUAAAUGUCUCUUCAGUAAUGCUCGAGGC